GCUAGCGGCAGGCCUAAUACAUGCAAGUCGAGGGGUAACAUGAGAGCUUGCUCUUGAUGACGACCGGCGCACGGGUGCGUAACGCGUAUGCAACCUACCCACAACUGGAGCAUAGCCCGGAGAAAUUCGGAUUAAUACUCCAUAAUGCAGGGGUACCUCCUGGUACUAUUUGCUAAAGAUUUAUCGGUUGUGGAUGG
rnacentral:rRNA from 1 species